GGCUUCGUGGUCGAGUGGUAAAGACACUUGCUUCAUCCUGGAGUCCCGGGUUCGGUCCCCGGCCGAGAAGCUA